ACGGGUGCGUAACACGUAUGCAAUCUACCCUUAUCAGGAGGAUAGCCCAGAGAAAUCUGGAUUAAUACUCCAUAGCACUAUUGAAUCGCAUGGUUCGAUAGUUAAAGCUCCGGCGGAUAAGGAUGAGCAUGCGUCCCAUUAGUUAGUUGGUGAGGUAACGGCUCACCAAGACAGCGAUGGGUAGGGGUUCUGAGAGGAUGAUCCCCCACACUGGUACUGAGACACGGACCAGACUCCUACGGGAGGCAGCAGUGAGGAAUAUUGGGCAAUGGACGGAAGUCUGACCCAGCCAUGCCGCGUGCAGGAAGACUGCCCUAUGGGUUGUAAACUGCUUUUAUAUACCAAGAAACCCCCGGACGUGUCCGGGGCUGACGGUAGUAUAUGAAUAAGGACCGGCUAGCUCCGUGCCAGCAGCCGCGGUAAUACGGAGGGUCCAAGCGUUAUCCGGAUUUAUUGGGUUUAAAGGGUUCGUAGGCGGGAGAUUAAGUCAGUGGUGAAAGCUUGCAGCUCAACUGUAAAAUUGCCAUUGAUACUGAUUUUCUUGAGUGUAUUUGGAGUUGGCGGAAUAUGUCAUGUAGCGGUGAAAUGCUUAGAUAUGACAUAGAACACCGAUCGCGAAGGCAGCCAACUAAGAUACUACUGACGCUGAGGAACGAAAGCGUGGGGAGCAAACAGGAUUAGAUACCCUGGUAGUCCACGCCGUAAACGAUGAUUACUCGAUAUUGGUCUUACGAUCAGUGUCCAAGCGAAAGUGAUAAGUAAUCCACCUGGGGAGUACGCCCGCAAGGGUGAAACUCAAAGGAAUUGACGGGGGCCCGCACAAGCGGUGGAGCAUGUGGUUUAAUUCGAUGAUACGCGAGGAACCUUACCAAGGCUUAAAUGUGAACGACCGGGAUGGAAACAUCCCUUUCUUCGGACGGUUCACAAGGUGCUGCAUGGUUGUCGUCAGCUCGUGCUGUGAAGUGUCGGGUUAAGUCCCAUAACGAGCGCAACCCCUAUCUCUAGUUGCCAGCGGAUCAUGCCGGGGACUCUAGAGAAACUGCCGGCGUAAGCCGAGAGGAAGGUGGGGAUGACGUCAAAUCAUCACGGCCCUUACGUCUUGGGCUACACACGUGCUACAAUGGUGGGGACAGAGAGUUGCAAACUGGUGACAGUGAGCUAAUCUUCAAACCCCAUCUCAGUUCGGAUCGUAGUCUGCAACUCGACUACGUGAAGUUGGAAUCGCUAGUAAUCGCGCAUCAGCCAUGGCGCGGUGAAUACGUUCCCGGGCCUUGUACACACC
rnacentral:rRNA from 1 species